UACGAAGGGUGCUAGCGUUGUUCGGAAUCACUGGGCGUAAAGCGCGCGUAGGCGGCUUUUCAAGUCAGGGGUGAAAUCCCGGGGCUCAACCCCGGAACUGCCCUUGAAACUGUAAAGCUUGAGUGUCGGAGGGGAUAGCGGAAUUGCUAAUGUAGAGGUGAAAUUCGUAGAUAUUAGCAGGAACACCGGUGGCGAAGGCGGCUAUCUGGACGACAACUGACGCUGAGGCGCGAAAGCGUGGGGAUCAAACAGG
rnacentral:rRNA from 1 species